ensembl:lncRNA
UGAGAUGUAAUGAACUUAAUACUUACUCUGCUUCAUCGAAGGCAAGCUUCAGAGAAGCGGCAGCCCAGAGACCUUCUCGUCAGGACGCAGUGCUUCCUUCAGACCACGUGGUCAGAACACCGUUUCUUAAAGUGUGGUCCGUGUACCAUCUACCUCAGAGUCCCUGGGAUGCUUGUUAAAUCUGAAGGUUCCCAGACUCCGAUCCACUGAAUCCCAAUGCGGGUGCAUCAGGAGUCAGCAUUCUGAACUAGCUCCCUGGCGAUUUUUACACACUCGAUGAUUUGAGGACUUUUGCACUGAUUUAGAUGCUCGUGUAUGAGACCCUCAAGUGACCUCUGCGCCCUUUCGCUUUUGUCUCUGAAUCAAGUCUGGGAUUACUUCACAGGGAACAUAAAGGAAAGUCACCAGUCAGGCAUUUGGAAGCAGCGAGGAGCCAACUUCAUUCUAGGUGAAAUUGAAAUCUUCACAGUGUGGAAAAGUGGAAAGAGAACUGAACUGGAAACCGUAACUUUUGUUUGAGUUUGGCUCUGUCACUCACUAUGUAUGGCCAUGGAAAGUAAUUUCUCCUCUCUCGUUGUUUGCUUGUUCAUAAAAUGAUAGCAUUUUCCAAACUUCAGUCAACGGAGUACCACCUUCAAAAUUGCAUCACCUGUGCUGUUAGAAAUAUUUUUCUUUUAAUAAUUACUUGAGUUUAAUUUGAAAAGGAGCUUUAUAUCAUUACUAUAAAUGGAGAACCAAUCAUCACUUACUAUAAUUAGAAAGUCAUACCUGUAAAAUAUAUAACAAUUAAAAAAUUUAGGGGGCUGGCCCCAAGGUGCAGUGGUUAAGUUUGCACACUGUGCUUCAGCAGCCCGGGGUUCACAUGCUUGCAUCCUGGGUGCAGACCUACAUGCUGCUCAUCAAGCCAUGCUGUGGCAGGUCCCACAUACAAAAAAAUAGAGGAAGAUUGGCACAGAUGUUAGCUCAGGACCAAUCUUCCUCAGCAAAAAAUAAUAAAAAAAAAUUUUAAUUUAAAAAGUUUAUCCCUGAGGCUCUAAUUAUCAACUGUUAAUGUAUGAUACUGUUAUCAUAUUUUGGGAAACAGCAAAUUAGAUGCUAUUUAAGACCAUUUUCUUUUUUAUAGAUCUAAGUAUUUAUUGGAGUAUCAUGCAAAUGGUUAUUUCAUUAUUUCUGGGAGGAAAAAAAAGUCCAAAUUCAUGAAGCAAUUUCUGAAAAAUCAACCUUGGGUAUUGUUAGGCAAAAAUUCCAUAACAAAAGCUAUGAAAAAACAAUGACCUUUUUUUCUCAAAAAGAAGAAAGCAUUUAAUGCUACUCAAAUCUUUAAUUAAAUGCUUAUAUCAGAUAUACAGUAUUAAAACAAGAAAUAUUUUCCCUAAUUAUAUCUGCUACUUUCAUCUGUUUCUUUUUUCAAAUCAUUAAAACUAGAACAAAUUAGAAAAAAUGUUACAGUGUUAGCAGAAAUGAAAUUCCAAAUCUAUUUACAGUUUACUUAUUGUGCAUCAUUUUUUCCUACUUUAUUGAGAUAUAAUUGAUGUCUAACAAUGUGUAACUUUAAGGUGUACAGUGUGUUGACUUGAUAUACUUACAUGUUGCAAUAUGACCACCAGCACGCAAUAACUACUGGAGUGCUAGCCAACACCUCCAUCACCUCACAUAGUUACCAUUUCUUUUUGUGGUGAGAACAUUUAAGAUCUAAUCUCUUAGCAACUUUCGAGUACACAGUACAGUAAUCUGUGCUAUAAAAGAUGACAGUUCUGGCAGAAAUGAAAUUCCAAAUCUAUUCACACUAUACUGAUGGUCCCUCAUUUUUCCCAGCCUUAUUGAGAUAUAAUUGACAGAAGUGGGGUUGCUGGAUCAUAUGAUAGCCCUAUUUUUAGUUUUUUGAGGAAACUCUAUAUUAUUUUCCACAAUGUGUGUACCAAUUUACAUUCCCACCAAAGGUGCACAAGGCUGCUCCUUUCUCCACAUCGUCACCAACACUUAUUUCGCGUCUUUUUGAUGACAGCCGUUCUAACAGGUGUGAGGUGAUGUCUCAUUGUGGAUUUGAUUUGCAUUUCCCUGAUGAUUAGUGAUGUUGAGCACCUUUUCACGUAGCUGUUGGCCACUCGUAUGUCUUCUCUGUAAAAUGUCUAUUCAGUUCCUCUGCCAAUAUUUUAAUUGGAUUUUUCUGUUGUUUUUAUUGAGUUGUAUGAGUUCUUUAUAUAUUUUUGAUAUUAGUCCCUUAUCAGAUAUAUGGUUCAGAGCACCUAAAUAUAUUAAGCAGAUACUAACAGGUUUGAAGGGAGAAAUAGACAACAAUAUGAUAUUGGUAGCAGACUUCAGUACCCUGCUUUCAGCAAUGGUUAGAUCAUUCAGACAGAAAUCAGCAAGGAAACCUUGGGCUUGAACCAUGUUUUAGGCCAAAUGGACCUAACAGACAUAUAUAGAACAUGCCAGCCAAUAGCAGCAGAGGGCACAUCCACAUGGGGCCAGAAGUGCUUCUUUCCCCACCCCCUCAGGGGAGACGGGCUGGCUGGAAGGGUCUGCAGUUGGGUAUUUCCCUCCCCCCAGGUAGGUUGGGCUCUGAGACAACGGAGCAGAUUAGGCUCCAGUGAAACAGUUUCUCCUGAGGGCUGGCUUUGUCAGGAACAGAAUAAUCUGGUACAUUUCAAAACAACUCCUUUUCCCCUCCCCCUGCUGGAAGAACAGGGGGUUUUUCUGUGAUAUUCACUCUGAG